rnacentral:rRNA from 1 species
CCGGCGCACGGGUGAGUAACGCGUGUGCAACCUGCCCGGCACAGUGGGAUAAUCCGGAGAAAUCCGGUCUAAUACCGCAUGACGCGGGAAAGGCGCAUGCCUUUUCCGCCAAAGGAGGCGACUCCGGUGCCGGCUGGGCACGCGUGACAUUAGCUAGUUGGCGGGGCGACGGCCCACCAAGCGACGAUGUCUAGGGGUUCUGAGAGGAAGGUCCCCCACACUGGUACUGAGACACGGACCAGACUCCUACGGGAGGCAGCAG